GGGGCUAUAGCGCAGUUGGUAGCGCGUCUCAAUGGCAUUGAGAAGGCCAGCGGUUCGAAUCCGCUUAGCUCCA
rnacentral:tRNA from 3 species